GAUGAAGAACGUAGCGAAAUGCGAUAAUUAAUGUGAAUUGCAGAAUUCCGUGAAUCAUCGAGUCUUUGAACGCACAUUGCGCCUCAUGGCAUUCCGUGAGGCAUGCCCAUCUCAGCGUUAGAAAAUAUUCUCAAAUUUUAGUUUUGUGCUAAAAUUUGGAUCAUGUCAAAGAAGCUAUUACUAUUAUUGUGACCGCUCUUUGGAAAUUGAUAGGUCUUUGAGUUGCUACUCAUAGAACGUGAUGAAUCUUUCUUCGUUCUAUUGUAAUUCACUCUGGUAGUCCUAAAACUUGUAUGCCUGUGGCAUAUCUUGUAAUUUGACCUGAGAUUGGGUAGGGAUACCCGCUGAACUUAAGCAUAUCAAUAAGCGGAGGA
rnacentral:misc_RNA from 1 species